ACGGGUGAGUAAUGCCUAGGAAUCUGCCUGGUGGUGGGGGAUAACGUUCGGAAAAAAAAGCUAAUACCUCAUACGUCCUCCGGGAGAAAGCAGGGGACCUUCGGGCCUUGCGCUAUCAGAUGAGCCUAGGUCGGAUUAGCAAGUUGGUGAGGUAAUGGCUCACCAAGGCCACGAUCCGUACCUGGUCUGAGAGGAUGAUCAGUCACCCUGGAACUGAGACACGGUCCAGACUCCUUCGGGAGGCAGCAGUGGGGAAUAUUGGUCAAUGGGCGAAAGCCUGAUCCAGCCAAGGCGCGUGUGUGAAGAAGGUCUUCGGAU
rnacentral:rRNA from 1 species